GUGGGGAAUAUUGGACAAUGGGCGAAAGCCUGAUCCAGCCAUGCCGCGUGUGUGAAGAAGGUCUUCGGAUUGUAAAGCACUUUAAGUUGGGAGGAAGGGCAGUAAGCUAAUACCUUGCUGUUUUGACGUUACCGACAGAAUAAGCACCGGCUAACUUCGUGCCAGCAGCCGCGGUAAUACGAAGGGUGCAAGCGUUAAUCGGAAUUACUGGGCGUAAAGCGCGCGUAGGUGGUUUUGUAAGUUGGAGGUGAAAUCCCCGGGCUCAACCUGGGAACUGCCUCCAAAACUGCAUGACUAGAGUACGGUAGAGGGUAGUGGAAUUUCCUGUGUAGCGGUGAAAUGCGUAGAUAUAGGAAGGAACACCAGUGGCGAAGGCGACUACCUGGACUGAUACUGACACUGGGGUGCGAAAGCGUGGGGAGCAAACAGGAUUAGAUACCCGUGUAGUCC
rnacentral:rRNA from 1 species